rnacentral:rRNA from 1 species
GAUGAACGCUGGCGGCGUGCCUAAUACAUGCAAGUCGAGCGAACGGACGAGAAGCUUGCUUCUCUGAUGUUAGCGGCGGACGGGUGAGUAACACGUGGAUAACCUACCUAUAAGACUGGGAUAACUUCGGGAAACCGGAGCUAAUACCGGAUAAUAUUUUGAACCGCAUGGUUCAAAAGUGAAAGACGGUCUUGCUGUCACUUAUAGAUGGAUCCGCGCUGCAUUAGCUAGUUGGUAAGGUAACGGCUUACCAAGGCAACGAUGCAUAGCCGACCUGAGAGGGUGAGCGGCCGGGCGGGAAGGGAGACACGGGCGGGGGUGGGACGGGAGGCAGCAGUGGGGAAGCGUGCGCGAUGGGCGAAGGCCUGACGGAGCAGCGCCGCGGGAGGGAUGAAGGUCUUCGGAUCGUAAAACUGUGUUAGUAGGGAAGAACAUAUGUGUAAGUAACUGUGCACAUCUUGACGGUGCCUAAUCAGAAAGCCACGGCUAAGUACGUG